CCUCGAAACUUGGCAAGUUGCCAGAUCAGAGGUUUCCUUCGAGGAGUUUAUAUUCGCUAACGGAGUUUCCUUUUACCUGUGGUUGAGCGCGGACUUCUGGAAUCCUGAGAUUCAUAUAUGCAUGACAUGGUGCAGGAUAUGAUGGAGUGCAUAUUCAUAAUAUACAGGGGCAACCACAGAUAAUACGCAGGUACAAGAAAUGUAUUUAAAGAAGUGAACGUUUGAGUGCAACUUUUGUUCUGAUGUGGAGUAGUCAAUGACAAACCAGUCGCCUGUUAAUGCUAUCAGAGCCAACUCCUGAAACACUCUACGAGUCACCGAGACAAAUGUAAUUUAAUAACAUAUCCUAAAUGCAAAUAAAAAAAGGAGUUUGACUGCAGUUUUUGGAUAUAUAGUAUGUUUGGGAGACAGACACUGAAAGGCUUAAUUUCUUUGCAGUUUCUAGAUGUAAACGUGAUGAAAAUAUGAAGUGUUUCUGAAACUAUUCUUCAGGAAAUGUUAAUCUGUUUAUAAAUCAGUGCCUAGGAGGAUUUUGUCUUAGUACGAGAGAUCAUAAAUGUGAUUUUACCACCA